GAUGAACGCUGGCGGCGUGCCUAAUACAUGCAAGUCGAGCGAACAGACGAGGAGCUUGCUCCUCUGACGUUAGCGGCUGACGGGUGAGUAACACGUGGAUAACCUACCUAUAAUACUGGGAUAACUUCGGGAAACCGGAGCUAAUACCGGAUAAUAUAUUGAACCGCAUGGUUCAAUAGUGAAAGACGGUUUUGCUGUCACUUAUAGAUGUAUCCGCGCCGCAUUAGCUAGUUGGUAAGGUAACGGCUUACCAAGGCGACGAUGCGUAGCCGACCUGAGAGGGUGAUCGGCCACACUGGAACUGAGACACGGUCCAGACUCCUACGGGAGGCAGCAGUAGGGAAUCUUCCGCAAUGGGCGAAAGCCUGACGGAGCAACGCCGCGUGAGUGAUGAAGGUCUUCGGAUCGUAAAACUCUGUUAUUAGGGAAGAACAAAUGUGUAAGUAACUAUGCACGUCUUGACGGUACCUAAUCAGAAAGCCACGGCUAACUACGUG
rnacentral:rRNA from 1 species